rnacentral:tRNA from 1 species
GGACCGGUAGCUCAGCUUGGACAGAGCACUUCCCUCCUACUCUUCAACUGCAAGAGGUGAAAGGAAGGGGCCGCGAGUUCGAAUCCCGCCCGGUCCG